UGACAUAACUAAGGCAAUCAGCCCAUUGCGCCAUAACCAGAAGACAAUAUCUAAUGGCAAUUGCCAUGUAUAGUGUGAAGGCCUUUCCUUGUGGAUUCAGAAUGGAGCAUGGACCACAAUUCUCAGAAGCGACUUCUAGAGAGAUGUUGGGUGUAAUGCCAGCCAUUGUUACAAUAGGACAUUGCAUUUUAUACCUGAGAUCACUG
rnacentral:lncRNA from 1 species